UCACUUCAAAGUUCCAAAAACCCCUGCAAAUAUGGGGUUUAUUCAGAUAAAAAGUGAUGGUGAUGCUAUAGAGAUGGUGAAUGUAAUACCAAAGAAGAAGAGGCAGAUUUCUUUGUACAUCACAGGUGGAGGGAAAAGGAAGUAUCAUGAAGCUCUAGCUGAUUUUGAUAGGCCUGAUGACCCGGAUUGGGAGAAUCCUUUGAAUAGCCAAACUGCUAGAGAUAAGGAGAGAGCUGCUUUUGAAGCUAAUUUGAUGGCAAGUCAGUUAUAUAGUAGUAAGGAGGGAAUGCCUCCAAGAUUUGAAAAUUUUGAUGUGGUUGUAGAUGCUGUGCCACUACAGGUCAUUUUAGGACCAGCUGUCACAUCCCAGGACCCAUUCUGCCGUAACACGAUAUUGUCCGCUUUGGGCCCACCGGCCCUCACGGUUUUGUUUCCGGCAGCUCAGGAGCAGCUUCCCAGGAGGUCACCCAUCCUGGGAUUGCUCUAGCAUCAACAUGCUUAACCUUGGAGUACCCAUCCCCUCCGAAGCCGCUGAACCACCAAAUGGCCUCGUGUUAGAUUGGAGGUGGGCAUGUACAUAUACAGCACAUAACCCCUCUCCGUUUGGCCGAUGUGGGAUAUUACAAUCCACCCCCCUUGGGAGUCCGACGCCCUCGUCGGCACACUCGCACCACAUGACAGAGUGGCUCUGAUACCAUUUGUCACAUCCCAAGACCCAUUCUGCCGUAACACGAUAUUGUCCGCUUUGGGCCCACCGGCCCUCACGGUUUUGUUUCCGGCAGCUUCCCAGGAGGUCACCCAUCCUGGGAUUGCUCUAGCAUCAACAUGCUUAACCUCGGAGUACCCAUCCCCUCCGAAGCCGCUGAACCACCAAAAGGCCUCGUGUUAGAUUGGAGGUGGGCAUGUACAUAUACAGCACAUAACCCCCUCUCCGUUUGGCCGAUGUGGGAUAUUACACCAGCAAUUGACUUGGAUGAUGUUGUGGACUUAGAUGGGGAUGUGGAUGAUGUAAAUGGGGAUGGUGAGGAGGUAUAUAGGGCUGGUGAGGAUUAAAUGGGACCUGUGAAGGAUGUAAAUAAGGCUGAUGAGGAAGUAAAUGGGCCUGGACCAAGUCAAGGAACCUUUGAGGUUUG
rnacentral:lncRNA from 1 species